UCCCGAAAAGCCAAACCUGCCGCGAGGCAGGGACAGAAAGCGACGGAUCUCCAAGUUUGGAAGAUGGCCGAGCUGCCGAAG
rnacentral:ncRNA from 1 species